rnacentral:lncRNA from 10 species
CAAAGGAGGAGACCCAGGACUCGCUGUAUCCGAGCCCCGAGCUUGGGAAUCUCUCAAGCACCCUGCAUGUGUUCCACAAAUCUGGGGAACCUAAACCCUCAUGGUUCCCGAGGCAGAGAUGGCUGGCAGUCAUCAGCACAGGACCAAGACUGCACCCCACUCCUUCCAUUUGGGAGUAGAAUAUGAUGACGUGACCUUAGAAGAUGGCAGAGCCACACAAUAGAAGGCGUUUGGGUUCCUGAAUCACUGUAUGAACAGAGCCACCCACAGAAUAUGAACAUCCUCCCUGGACUGUCAUAAUGAGUGAGGAAAAAACUUUACUGUGUUUGAGCCUUUAUAUAUUUGGGGUCUAUUCACUACUGCAGCUAGUGUUACCUUGAGUCAUUGGUGCCUUGAAUUACAGAACUGCCACAACGAAAUUCUAAAAUAUGUUAGCAGUUGAGCAAGAGGGAUCAUGGAACUGUUCGAGCUGGAAAAUGGUUAUCUAUGUUAUGCAGUGGCAAAACAUUGGGUAAAUCUGUUGCAUGUUGUUAUGGACUGAAUGUUUGUGGUCUCCCCUAAAUUCAUAUGUUGAAUCCUAACCCUCGAAGUAGUAGUGUCAGGAGGUGGGGCCUUUGGGAGGUGACUAGGUUGUGAGGGUGGAGCCCUCAUGGAUGGGGUUAGUGCCAUUAUAAAAGAGGCCCCAGAGAGCUGCCUUGCCCUCUUUCUACCAUGUGAGGACAGAGUGAGAAGGAUCCAUCUAUAAAUCAGAAACAGGGCCCUCCACAGAUAUAGGUACUGCCUGUGUCAUCUUCUUGGACUUCCUGGUAUCUAGAACUGUGAGAAAUAAAUUCCUGUUCUUUGUAAGCCA